GAACGCAUAUUGCGCUCUUUGGUAUUCCGAAGAGCAUGCUUGUUUGAGUAUCAGUAAACACCUCAACCUCUCUUUUUUGAUAAAAAAAAGGGAGGGUGGACUUGAGCUAUCCCAACGACCUUCACCGGUAGGCGGGCGGCUUGAAAUGCAGGUGCAGCUGGACUUUUAUCUGAGCUAAAAGCAUAUCUAUUUAGUCCCGUCAAACGGAUUAUUACUUUUUGCUGCAGCUAACAUAAAGGGAGUUUUGACCAUUAUGGCUGACUGAUGCAGGAUUUCACAGAGAAAAGGCCGGCAACGGUUUUGUCUCUGUCAAACUCGAUCUCAAAUCAAGUAAGACUACCCGCUGAACUUAAG
rnacentral:misc_RNA from 1 species